UGGCGGACGGGUGAGUAACGCGUGGGCAACCUGCCCUGUACAGGGGGACAACACUUAGAAAUAGGUGCUAAUACCGCAUAACGGGGGAGCCGCAUGGCACCCCCCUGAAGACUCCGGUGGUACAGGAUGGGCCCGCGUCUGAUUAGCUGGUUGGCAGGGUAACGGCCUACCAAGGCGACGAUCAGUAGCCGGCCUGAGAGGGCGGACGGCCACACUGGGACUGAGACGCGGCCCAGACUCCUACGGGAGGCAGCAG
rnacentral:rRNA from 1 species